rnacentral:rRNA from 1 species
UACGUAGGGUGCGAGCGUUGUCCGGAAUUAUUGGGCGUAAAGAGCUCGUAGGCGGUGUGUCACGUCGGCCGUGAAAACCUGCAGCUUAACUGUGGGCGUGCGGUCGAUACGGGCAUCACUGGAGUUCGGCAGGGGAGACUGGAAUUCCUGGUGUAGCGGUGAAAUGCGCAGAUAUCAGGAGGAACACCGGUGGCGAAGGCGGGUCUCUGGGACGGUACUGACGCUGAGGCGCGAAAGCGUGGGGAGCAAACAGG